rnacentral:SRP_RNA from 1 species
GCUGGGCAUGAUGGCACGUGCCUAUAGUCCCAGCUACUCAGGAGGCUGAGGCUGGUGGAUUGCUUGAGUCCAAGAGUUCUGGGAUGUAGUGCGCUAUGCCAAUCGGGUGUCUGCACAAAGUUCGGCAACACUAUGGUAACCUCCUAGGAGCAGGGGACCACCAGGUUGCCUAAGGAGGGGUAAAUAGACCCAGGUCGGAAAAGGAGCAGGUCAAAACUCCCAUGCUGAUCAGUAGCACAUUCCGCCUGUGAAUAGCCACUGCACUCCAGCCUGGGUAACAUAGCGAGACCCCACCCCC